GAUGAACGCUGGCGGCGUGCUUAACACAUGCAAGUCGAACGGUGAAGGCGGAGCUUGCUCUGCUGGAUCAGUGGCGAACGGGUGAGUAACACGUGAGCAAUCUGCCCCUGACUCUGGGAUAAGCGCUGGAAACGGCGUCUAAUACUGGAUACGAGCUGCGAAGGCAUCUUCAGCAGCUGGAAAGAACUUCGGUCAGGGAUGAGCUCGCGGCCUAUCAGCUUGUUGGUGAGGUAACGGCUCACCAAGGCGUCGACGGGUAGCCGGCCUGAGAGGGUGACCGGCUACACUGGGACUGAGACACGGCCCAGACUCCUACGGGAGGCAGCAGUGGGGAAUAUUGCACAAUGGGCGAAAGCCUGAUGCAGCAACGCCGCGUGAGGGACGACGGCCUUCGGGUUGUAAACCUCUUUUAGCAGGGAAGAAGCGAAAGUGACGGUACCUGCAGAAAAAGCGCCGGCUAACUACGUG
rnacentral:rRNA from 1 species